rnacentral:rRNA from 1 species
CCUUGGUUAUGUGUGCACUUCUUAGAGGGACUGUCGGUUCCUAGCCGAAGGAAGUUCGAGGCAAUAACAGGUCUGUGAUGCCCUUAGAUGUUCUGGGCCGCACGCGCGCUACACUGAUACGUUCAUCGAGCUUACAACCUUGGUCGGGAGGCCNGGGUAAUCUUUUCAAAGCGUAUCGUGCUGGGGAUAGAUUAUUGUAAUUAUUAAUCUUCAACGAGGAAUUCCUAGUAAGCGCGAGUCAUCAACUCGCACUGAUUACGUCCCUGCCCUUUGUACACACCGCCCGUCGCUGCUACCGAUUGAAUGCAUUAGUGAGUCUUGGGGAUCGUUUCUCUUGAGGGUAAAACUUCGGGUUAGAUGAGAACCAAUACAAACUUGCGCAUUUAGAGGAAGCAAAAGUCGUAACAAGGUUUCCGUAGGUGAACCUGCGGAAGGAUCAUUACAACGUAUCCACGUAUAAACCUUUGUGAACAUGUUUAACCGCAUGGUUGUAGUAUCGCAAAACACUUAGCAAUUCGGAAAUAAAGCUGAGUGCCCGCUUCUCUCUCGCAGAGAAGGGAUGCUGUGACGAUGUUUUUCCGUUACAUAUUAACCACUGUAACUUUCUAUGCACUUACGAAUCAGAGCGAAAGCUCUCCUUCGAAAAUAUAAGA